rnacentral:rRNA from 2 species
AGAACGCUGGCGGCGUGCCUAAUACAUGCAAGUCGAACGAGUUCUUGUUGAUGAUCGGUGCUUGCACCAAGAUUCAACAUGGAACGAGUGGCGGACGGGUGAGUAACACGUGGGUAACCUGCCCUUAAGUGGGGGAUAACAUUUGGAAACAGAUGCUAAUACCGCAUAGAUCCAAGAACCGCAUGGUUCUUGGCUGAAAGAUGGCGUAAGCUAUCGCUUUUGGAUGGACCCGCGGCGUAUUAGCUAGUUGGUGAGGUAAUGGCUCACCAAGGCGAUGAUACGUAGCCGAACUGAGAGGUUGAUCGGCCACAUUGGGACUGAGACACGGCCCAAACUCCUACGGGAGGCAGCAGUAGGGAAUCUUCCACAAUGGACGCAAGUCUGAUGGAGCAACGCCGCGUGAGUGAAGAAGGCUUUCGGGUCGUAAAACUCUGUUGUUGGAGAAGAAUGGUCGGCAGAGUAACUGUUGUCGGCGUGACGGUAUCCAACCAGAAAGCCACGGCUAACUACGUGCCAGCAGCCGCGGUAAUACGUAGGUGGCAAGCGUUAUCCGGAUUUAUUGGGCGUAAAGCGAGCGCAGGCGGUUUUUUAAGUCUGAUGUGAAAGCCCUCGGCUUAACCGAGGAAGCGCAUCGGAAACUGGGAAACUUGAGUGCAGAAGAGGACAGUGGAACUCCAUGUGUAGCGGUGAAAUGCGUAGAUAUAUGGAAGAACACCAGUGGCGAAGGCGGCUGUCUGGUCUGUAACUGACGCUGAGGCUCGAAAGCAUGGGUAGCGAACAGGAUUAGAUACCCUGGUAGUCCAUGCCGUAAACGAUGAAUGCUAGGUGUUGGAGGGUUUCCGCCCUUCAGUGCCGCAGCUAACGCAUUAAGCAUUCCGCCUGGGGAGUACGACCGCAAGGUUGAAACUCAAAGGAAUUGACGGGGGCCCGCACAAGCGGUGGAGCAUGUGGUUUAAUUCGAAGCAACGCGAAGAACCUUACCAGGUCUUGACAUCUUUUGAUCACCUGAGAGAUCAGGUUUCCCCUUCGGGGGCAAAAUGACAGGUGGUGCAUGGUUGUCGUCAGCUCGUGUCGUGAGAUGUUGGGUUAAGUCCCGCAACGAGCGCAACCCUUAUGACUAGUUGCCAGCAUUUAGUUGGGCACUCUAGUAAGACUGCCGGUGACAAACCGGAGGAAGGUGGGGAUGACGUCAAAUCAUCAUGCCCCUUAUGACCUGGGCUACACACGUGCUACAAUGGAUGGUACAACGAGUUGCGAGACCGCGAGGUCAAGCUAAUCUCUUAAAGCCAUUCUCAGUUCGGACUGUAGGCUGCAACUCGCCUACACGAAGUCGGAAUCGCUAGUAAUCGCGGAUCAGCACGCCGCGGUGAAUACGUUCCCGGGCCUUGUACACACCGCCCGUCACACCAUGAGAGUUUGUAACACCCGAAGCCGGUGGCGUAACCCUUUUAGGGAGCGAGCCGUCUAAGGUGGGACAAAUGAUUAGGGUG